GCCGAAGUGGUGAAAUAGGUAGACGCAGUGGACUCAAAAUCCACCGGGCUUCGCAGCCCGUGCCGGUUCGAUUCCGGCCUUCGGCACCA
rnacentral:tRNA from 1 species